ensembl:snoRNA
AUCCUCUUGUAGUUCAUAAGCAUGAUGAUUGGGUGUUCAUGCUGUUGUGUGAUAUGUGCCUCCCUUAAACCUUGUUACGACCUUGGCACAUUGCCUGUCUGACA